rnacentral:rRNA from 1 species
AACGAACGCUGGCGGCAUGCCUAACACAUGCAAGUCGAACGAGACCUUCGGGUCUAGUGGCGCACGGGUGCGUAACGCGUGGGAACCUGCCCUUAGGUUCGGCAUAACUCCCCGAAAGGGGUGCUAAUACCGGAUAAUGUCUUCGGACCAAAGAUUUAUCGCCUUUGGAUGGGCCCGCGUUGGAUUAGCUAGUUGGUAGGGUAAAAGCCUACCAAGGCGACGAUACAUAGCUGGUCUGAGAGGAUGAGCAGCCACACUGGGACUGAGACACGGCCCAGACUCCUACGGGAGGCAGCAGUGGGGAAUAUUGGAAAAUGGGCGAAAGCCUGAUCCAGCAAUGACGCGUGAGUGAUGAAGGCCUUAGGGUUGUAAAGCUCUUUUACCCGGGAUGAUAAUGACAGUACCGGGAGAAUAAGCUCCGGCUAACUCCGUG